ACCAAAUUAGCAACGGACGAUUUGGUCGGAAUUAUAGUUAUGUCACCAAUGGAAUUGUUGAUGGAAUCAUUAACGGAGACGAUUGGCAUAACAAAUAACUAUAUUGAUGGAAUCACCGAUGAAUCGCCGGCGAAAAUUUUGUCGAUGAUUCCGUUGAUAAUUUAAUUUAACAUCUCGAGGCCCUUUAUUUCCUCCCAUUUCACCCUUUAACAUUAAACUCCCUCUUCUCCCUCAACUCUCUGUCUCUUGGCCUCCCCUGCCUCCCGCCCCACCCUAAUGACCUCUUGCCCCACACCGACAGUUGAUGCAGCCCCUGCGAUGGUGGCACGGAGGAAUGUGUUGAGGGAUGAAGGGAGUGUUGCUACGGUGGAGCUGCUUUGAGGUUUUCUCGAUCGUUUCUACCAGUUUGUUUUGUAUCUACCGAUUUUUUUUUCUUUGUUCUGCUUUGGGGUUAUGUUUGAUGCCUGGAGUUUUGAGAUAAGCAAAAGCAUGUGUACAAAUAGUCUGAUGCUUGGGAGUUGUGUUGGUUGAUUGGUUUUGACUGCAGCUUUGAUUGUCCUGCCUAGUUCUUCUCAGAUUAAAGUUCUGUAGAAUGAAGAGGUGCAAGUCACAUUGUCACGGGGCGAGUCUUCAGACCACCCUUCGUGCGGUCUUGGGUUCAACCCUUAUCCCGGUACUGAAACUCAAGUCAGCCUUUGUGCUUUAGCACUCGCCCAGCAAGCACCCAGCACUCCCACACGCAGCACACUGUCUUCAUACACCCGCACUCGCACACAAUGACUUUAAGCCGGCAAGCAAACUUGCAUAAAAGGAAAAGGAGGAAAAGAGAGGAGAAUGCUGAAAAAAGAAAAGCUGAACUUCUAUUGAAUGAAUUACACAAAGUACAAGGGGUUAU